GAGAACUGGGACUAGUGAUGGUUUAAUGAAGGCCCGUGAAUGUGUUGAGUCUUUCUGGCCAAUUGCAUCGCCAAAAGUGUCAUUACUCG